CCUGCCCACUGAAUUUAUUUUUAAAUGGCCGCAGUAAUUUGACUGUGCAAAGGUAGCAUAAUCAUUAGUUUUUUAAUUAAAAGCUUGUAUGAAAGGUUGGACGAGGUAAAAUCUGUCUCUAUUUAAAUUAAAUUAGAAUUUAAUUUUUAAGUUAAAAAGCUUAAAUUUUUUUAAAAGACGAGAAGACCCUAUAGAGCUUUAUAUUUUUUUUUAUAAUUUUAAUUUGGAAAUAUUUAGAAUUUAUAUUAAAAAUUAUUUUAUUGGGGUAAUAGGAAGAUUAGUAAAAUUCUUUUUUUAAUAAAUCAUUUAUUUAUGAAUUAAUGAUCCAAAAAUUUUGAUUAUAUGAUUAAGUUACCUUAGGGAUAACAGCGUAAUUUUUUUAAAGAGUUCAUAUCGAUAAAAAAGUUUGCGACCUCGAUGUUGGAUUAAAAGUUAUUAUAGGUGCAGAAGCUUGUAAUUUUGGUCUGUUCGACC
rnacentral:rRNA from 1 species